GUGGAGGAGGACGCCGAAGGUGGGGCUAAUGACUGGGGUGAAGUCGUAACAAGGUAGCCGUACCGGAAGGUGCGGCUGGAUCACCUCCUAACAGGGAGACAACAAAAUGUUUAAUAUUAUUAUUUUGUCACCUUAGGUCGAUCGGUAUCUCACGUUCUUAAUUUGUUAAGAAUUUCAUUUCCUAAGUUUUUCUAGGUCACACCCAUUAUUUUUCCUGGGCCAUUAGCUCAGGUGGUUAGAGCGCACCCCUGAUAAGGGUGAGGUCCCUGGUUCAAGUCCAGGAUGGCCCAUAUCUCUAUGUUGGGGGUAUAGCUCAGUUGGUAGAGCGCCUGCUUUGCAAGCAGGAUGUCAGCGGUUCGAGUCCGCUUACCUCCACUGAUUACCACCUCUUCCAUAGCCGGUAGAAAGGAAAUGUUUUGAGCUGUGAUCAUUAUUCUGAACGAAUCUAGCUUCCUAAUGAAAUCAUUAAGAUGCUGGACUCAUUGAAUUAAUUUCAUUGUUUUCAGAGAACCUUGACAACUGCAUAGAUUUUUUAAAGACAAUAAGCAUCUUUAAUGAUGCAGAUUUAUUAUUUGUGCGAAUGCAUUAAUAACAAUUCUAUUAAGCUGAUGCUUCAAUUUUUGAAGUUAUUGGUCAAGCUACAAAGGGCUCACGGAGGAUACCUAGGCACACAGAGGC
rnacentral:misc_RNA from 1 species